CCGGGAAUAAAAAAAAAAAUAUUUUUGGGUUUGGGGUUAGCGAAGGCAAGGGGGGUUUUUCCCCUA
rnacentral:tRNA from 1 species